GAUGAACGCUGGCGGCGUGCCUAAUACAUGCAAGUCGAGCGAACGGACGAGAAGCUUGCUUCUCUGAUGUUAGCGGCGGACGGGUGAGUAACACGUGGAUAACCUACCUAUAAGACUGGGAUAACUUCGGGAAACCGGAGCUAAUACCGGAUGAUAUUUUGAACCGCAUGGUUCAAAAGUGAAAGACGGUCUUGCUGUCACUUAUAGAUGGAUCCGCGCUGCAUUAGCUAGUUGGUAAGGUAACGGCUUACCAAGGCAACGAUGCAUAGCCGACCUGAGAGGGUGAUCGGCCACACUGGAACUGAGACACGGUCCAGACUCCUACGGGAGGCAGCAGUAGGGAAUCUUCCGCAAUGGGCGAAAGCCUGACGGAGCAACCCCGCGUGAGUGAUGAAGGUCUUCGGAUCGUAAAACUCUGUUAUUAGGGAAGAACAUAUGUGUAAGUAACUGUGCACAUCUUGACGGUACCUAAUCAGAAAGCCACGGCUAACUACGU
rnacentral:rRNA from 1 species